GGGGGUCUGAAUGCUAAUUGCACCACAUGUGUUUUUCUUUGAAACAAACUUGCUUUGGCGGUGGGCCCAGCCUGCCGCCAGAGGUCUAAACUUACAACCAAUUUUUUAUCAACUUGUCACACCAGAUUAUUACUAAUAGUCAAAACUUUCAACAACGGAUCUCUUGGUUCUCGCAUCGAUGAAGAACGCAGCGAAAUGCGAUACGUAAUAUGAAUUGCAGAUAUUCGUGAAUCAUCGAAUCUUUGAACGCACAUUGCGCCCUCUGGUAUUCCGGAGGGCAUGCCUGUUUGAGCGUCGUUUCUCCCUCAAACCGCUGGGUUUGGUGUUGAGCAAUACGACUUGGGUUUGCUUGAAAGACGGUAGUGGUAAGGCGGGAUCGCUUUGACAAUGGCUUAGGUCUAACCAAAAACAUUGCUUGCGGCGGUAACGUCUACCACGUAUAUCUUCAAACUUUGACCUCAAAUCAGGUAGGACUACCCGCUGAACUUAAGCAUAUCAAUAAGCGGAGGAA
rnacentral:rRNA from 1 species